rnacentral:rRNA from 1 species
CACGUAGGGGGCAAGCGUUGUCCGGAUUUAUUGGGCGUAAAGAGCUCGUAGGUGGCUCGGUAAGUCGGGUGUUAAACCCCCAGGCUCAACCUGGGGACGCCACUCGAUACUGCUGUGGCUAGAGUCCGGUAGGGGAGCGUGGAAUUCCUGGUGUAGCGGUGAAAUGCGCAGAUAUCAGGAGGAACACCAGCGGCGAAGGCGGCGCUCUGGGCCGGUACUGACACUGAGGAGCGAAAGCGUGGGUAGCAAACAGG